rnacentral:rRNA from 1 species
AUUGAACGCUGGCGGCAGGCUUAACACAUGCAAGUCGAGCGGGGUGAUGGUGCUUGCACUAUCACUUAGCGGCGGACGGGUGAGUAAUGCUUAGGAAUCUGCCUAUUAGUGGGGGACAACAUCUCGAAAGGGACGCUAAUACCGCAUACGUCCUACGGGAGAAAGCAGGGGAUCACUUGUGACCUUGCGCUAAUAGAUGAGCCUAAGUCGGAUUAGCUAGUUGGUGGGGUAAAGGCCUACCAAGGCGACGAUCUGUAGCGGGUCUGAGAGGAUGAUCAGCCACACUUGGACUGAGACACGGCCCAGACUCCUACGGGAGGCAGCAGUGGGGAAUAUUGGACAAUGGGGGGAACCCUGAUCCAGCCAUGCCGCGUGUGUGAAGAAGGCCUUAUGGUUGUAAAGCACUUUAAGCGAGGAGGAGGCUCUUUUGGUUAAUACCCAAGAUGAGUGGACGUUACUCGCAGAAUAAGCACCGGCUAACUCUGUGCCAGCAGCCGCCGUAA